GCACUGUAACAGGGGAUCUACGGUCCCUCGCCACUGGAUGUCAGAGGACAGUAAACACGUGUUGAUCCAGAUCUUAUGGGACAACCUCAAGCUGCACCGGGAUCUCAUCCAGCCGUUCUACAUCCUGUGGAACACGCAGAGUGUGGGCUACCCGUUGUGUCGUCCUGUGAGCGAGGCGGAGCGUCCGUUUGGGGAGGAGCUACUCCACAGCGUGGUCAAGAGCAUCCAGAGGAACGACGUCUCUCGACCAAUGGGACAGCUCCUACAACUGCUGGGGCAGAGCCUGGGGGUCAAGAGGCAAAGGAGUCUGUACAGAGACAUCCUCUUCCUGUGUCUGGUGGCUCUGGGAAAGGACAACAUUGACAUUGACGCUUUUGACCGUGAAUACAAGAUGGCGUACGACCACCUCAGCCCCAAUCUGGUGAAGCUGACGCACAACUGCGACCGUCCGCCCAGCGCUGGGGUCAUGGAGUGUCGCAAGACCUUCGGAGAGCCCUACCUCUGACCCCUGACCCCUUUACCCCUGACGUUUCACCUCCGACAGACACUCACCCGGCCAGUCACCUCCGUCACUCGGCCAUUCACCUCCUCCACCCGGCCAGUCACCUCCAUCACUCGGCCAGUCACCUCCUCCACCUGGCCAGCCAGUCCCCUCCGUCACUCGGCCAGUCCCCUCCUCCACCCGGCCAGUCACCUCCUCCACCCGGCCAGCCAGUCCCCUCCGUCACUCGGCCAGUCCCCUCCUCCACCCGGCCAGUCACCUCCUCCACCCGGCCAGCCAGUCACCUCCAUCACUCGGCCAGUCACCUCCUCCACCCGGCCAGCCAGUCACCUCCGUCACUAGGCCAGUCACCUCCGUCACUAGGCCAGUCACCUCCGUCACCCGGCCAGUCCCCUCCUCCACCCGGCCAGUCAGUCCCCUCCGUCACUCGGCCAGUCCCCUCCGUCACUCGGCCAGUCCCCUCCGUCACCCGGCCAGUCACCUCCGUCACUCGGCAUAGCACAGCCGUGGGUAGCCCACAUGGGUAGGGUUGAAGAGAUCUUUUGUGUCCAUGAAAAGCGCAUGUAUAAAAAUCCAUGUAUUACAACGUUGGCUCUCCCAAAGAGGACUGAGGAGCUUUAAAGACGAGCUCAGGAAUCCACUUUAGAAAGACGUACAGAAUGCGUGACGAUGAGCUUGUUGACACUGUGAUGUUUUGGGUCAUAUCCGUCACCUGUGAGAGAUGUGACGAGGCUGACCAGAGACUAACAGAGCUGACCAGAGACUAACGGAGCUGACCAGAGACUAACGGGGCUGACCGACCAGGGGGUUAUUAUGUAGUCUGACCAGUCUCACAAAAGGGAUGUUUUAAAAAAAAAUGUUUAUCCCAUCUCAUCACCUGGUCGUGAAUGGUUCUGGACGUACCCCUCUGGAUGGAUGGAGAUCAUACUCAUUAACGUAACAACGGUUUCACACACAAUGACGUCUUCUAUUUCGGGGUACUUAAGUUUUAAGAAAUCUUGUACAAAUUGUUACAUAAAAUACAAAAUGUACUUUAUAUACGACAGUAGUAGUAGGGACCUUUUAUAAAAAAUAAAAAUAAACAUUUGUAUUAUAUAGUCAUAUAUAGAGACUAAUAUUAGCAAUAUUUUACUUAACUUGAAUUCUAUUUAUACAAAGUAAGACUUUUAUUUAUUUUAGUCUGUUUUAUUUGUUUAGCUGGAUGUACUGGCUUCGUGUCUGGAUGAAACAUCUAUUCCUCUCCUCCUGUGGUUGAUGGAUGUACUGGCUUUGUGUCAGGGUGAAACAUCUAUUCCUCUCCUCCUGUGGUUGAUGGAUGUACUGGAUUCAUGUCAGGGUGAAACAUCUAUUCCUCUCCUCCUGUGGUUGAUGGAUGUACUGGCUUUGUGUCAGGGUGAAACAUCUAUUCCUCUCCUCCUGUGGUUGAUGGAUGUACUGGCUUUGUGUCAGGGUGAAACAUCUAUUCCUCUCCUCCUGUGGUUGAUGGAUGUACUGGAUUCAUGUCAGGGUGAAACAUCUAUUCCUCUCCUCCUGUGGUUGAUGGAUGUACUGGCUUCAUGUCUGGAUGAAACAUCUAUUCCUCUCCUCCUGUGGUUGAUGGAUGUACUGGCUUUGUGUCAGGGUGAAACAUCUAUUCCUCUCCUCCUGUGGUUGAUGGAUGUACUGGCUUUGUGUCAGGGUGAAACAUCUAUUCCUCUCCUCCUGUGGUUGAUUGAUGUACUGGCUUCAUGUCUGGAUGAAACAUCUAUUCCUCUCCUCCUGUGGUUGAUGGAUGUACUGGCUUUGUGUCAGGGUGAAACAUCUAUUCCUCUCCUCCUGUGGUUGAUGGAUGUACUGGCUUUGUGUCAGGGUGAAACAUCUAUCCCUCUCCUCCUGUGGUUGAUGGAUGUUAGAAUGUUCUAGUAGUAUUUACAGUGAGUAGUGUAACUGUAUCUGCUACUGUAUCACACUGAUGUCCAUCUUAAACUGAACUAAGCUGGUUUGAAGUCUGGUUUGAAGUAUUGUAUCAGUGAGGGCAUUCAAAGAUUCACUCAAAACAACUAAAGUCGCUUUAAAACUGCCAAAAUAUUGCAUUUAAAUACUUAAUUUCCACCGCACUUUUACAACCGAUGUUGUUGUUGGCAAGACGUAAAGCCUGAGUAUGGAUUGAUUCGUUUGAUCAACAAAAUAUAAAUAUCUAUUACAGAAAUACCCAUACUGAGUCGAAUACUUUGACGUUUACAAAACUGAUUGAUCACUGUUUCUGUUUUUAAAGUAAUGUGCAACUGUAAAACAGACUUUGACAUCUUUGGCACAACAUGCUGCAUGAAUCGCCUCCUCAGAUAUCAGUAUUAAUAUCAUUAAAGUUGAAGUACCUUUUAAAGAACCUUCAAGUUAAAGUGAAGUACAUUUUUAAAGUACCUUCAAGUUAAAGUUGGAGUAACUUUUAAAGUACCUUCAAGUUAAAGUUGGAGUACCUUUUAAAGUACCUUCAAGUUAAAGUUGGAGUACCUUUUAAAGUACCUUCAAGUUAAAGUUGG
ensembl:lncRNA